GGAGGGAUACCCAAGCGGCCAACGGGGGCAGACUGUAAAUCUGCUGGCUUACGCCUUCGGUGGUUCGACUAGGUUCGCCGGGAGCGAACCUGAACGCGACGCGAAGCGGCGCGGCCCCGAAGGGGCGAAGGGCAGGAUGCCCUGAGUCAUCCACCUCCCGGGCCA
rnacentral:tRNA from 1 species